CCUAGAAGUAAACCCGAUCGAGUUCCCUCCCUUACCUAAAACUGUGCUCUCGGCCGCCUCCCUCCGACUCAACACUAGGUCUCAAAACUCAAUCACCAUCUGAGAAUUGAGAAUCACUCCUGCAGCUGAGAAUCACUCAACCUAGAAGUAAACCCGACACCAUCUGAGGCUCAGUCCCGCCGCCGCGACUCCCUCUGAGGCUCAGUCCCGCCGCGACUCCGUCUGAGGCUCAGUCCCGCCGCGACUCCGUCUGAGGCUCAGUCCCGCCGCGACUCCCUCUGAGGCUCAGUCCCGCCGCGACUCCCUCAGUCCCUCACCAUGACUCCUUCUGUCCCUCGCCACGACGCCAUGGCUACUCUCUGAGGCUCAAACGCCCAGUCCCACCGCGACUCCAUCGAGCCACCUCCACCUCUCCACACGGCCACGC
rnacentral:lncRNA from 1 species